AGAACGAACGCUGGCGGCGUGUUUAAGACAUGCAAGUCGAACGGGUUGAAGUUGUAGCAAUACCGCUUCAACCAGUGGCGCACGGGUGCGUAACACGUGAGUUACAUGCCCUGCAGUGGGGAAUAGCCCGCCGAAAGGCGGAUUAAUACCCCCAUGGUCCCGCAAGGGUAAAGGUGGCCGCAAGGCUGCCGCUGCAGGAUUGGCUCGCGGCCUAUCAGCUUGUUGGUGAGGUAACGGCUCACCAAGGCAACGACGGGUACCUGGUCUGAGAGGAUGAUCAGGCACACUGGAACUGAGACACGGUCCAGACACCUACGGGUGGCAGCAGUCGAGAAUAAUUCACAAUGGGGGAAACCCUGAUGGUGCAACGCCGCGUGGAGGAUGAAGGUCUUCGGGAUUGUAAACUCCUGUCAGUCGGGAUAAGACCGUAGACGGUAAUAGCCGGCAGGUUGAUAGUACCCGAAGAGGAAGGACGGACUAACGUCGUGCCAGCACGCCGAGGUAAUCGUA
rnacentral:rRNA from 1 species